rnacentral:rRNA from 1 species
AACAGAUGCUAAUACCGUAUAACAGAGAAAACCGCCUGGUUUUCUUUUAAAAGAUGGCUCUGCUAUCACUUCUGGAUGGACCCGCGGCGCAUUAGCUAGUUGGUGAGGUAACGGCUCACCAAGGCGAUGAUGCGUAGCCGACCUGAGAGGGUAAUCGGCCACAUUGGGACUGAGACACGGCCCAGACUCCUACGGGAGGCAGCAGUAGGGAAUCUUCCACAAUGGACGCAAGUCUGAUGGAGCAACGCCGCGUGAGUGAAGAAGGGUUUCGGCUCGUAAAGCUCUGUUGUUAAAGAAGAACGUGGGUGAGAGUAACUGUUCACCCAGUGACGGUAUUUAACCAGAAAGCCACGGCUAACUACGUGCCAGCAGCCGCGGUAAUACGUAGGUGGCAAGCGUUAUCCGGAUUUAUUGGGCGUAAAGCGAGCGCAGGCGGUCUUUUAAGUCUAAUGUGAAAGCCUUCGGCUCAACCGAAGAAGUGCAUUGGAAACUGGGAGACUUGAGUGCAGAAGAGGACAGUGGAACUCCAUGUGUAGCGGUGAAAUGCGUAGAUAUAUGGAAGAACACCAGUGGCGAAGGCGGCUGUCUGGUCUGUAACUGACGCUGAGGCUCGAAAGCAUGGGUAGCGAACAGGAUUAGAUACCCUGGUAGUCCAUGCCGUAAACGAUGAUUACUAAGUGUUGGAGGGUUUCCGCCCUUCAGUGCUGCAGCUAACGCAUUAAGUAAUCCGCCUGGGGAGUACGACCGCAAGGUUGAAACUCAAAAGAAUUGACGGGGGCCCGCACAAGCGGUGGAGCAUGUGGUUUAAUUCGAAGCUACGCGAAGAACCUUACCAGGUCUUGACAUCUU